AGCCAUGUGGUGAGCACAAAGCGAACUAUUCUUUCGCCUUUUACUAAAGAAUACCGUGUGCUCUCCACGCUAAGUGGCAUACGCCUAUUUUUGGAGGGUCCCGCUUUCGGUGGGCCC
rnacentral:snRNA from 1 species